AAAAUCGGCUCCCUCUCUCUUUUCUCUCUCUCGUUCUCAGCCUCCAGCCGGCUCCGGCGCCUUCUCGUCGCCGGCGCGAGCCCCUGCUCUCCCAAAUCGGAAAUCACCGCCGCCUCCCUGAACUUUCGAUGAGCGGCGGUCGUUUCUUCUCCCAAAUCGGCUCAACAGUCAACACAACUCUUUUUUUUCUUUCCUCAAAAUCGGAACAUCUCUCUCUCUCGAUCUGUUUUCGGCGAGGGGUCCAGCGCCGCCGCCGCUGAUCACCACGCUGAGCCUCCGUUUGUCUGGACGUCCGCCGCCUCCGCAGCUCCGCCGCGAACGGCCCCGGCGAGGUUGAUGCCUCUAUUCCCCUAUCUCGAUCUUCCUCACGCACAGAUUCGCGGUCGACCUUAGUUUCCUCUCUAUUGAGUGAAACCGUCUCCGCCGCUGUUCUGAAAUUCCGGCGACGCCGCCGCCUUCAACGGCUCUGCCCUCUUUCCUCUAGUAACAUCAAGUGGAACUCAAAUCAGGGCCAAAAUCUCCUCGCUUUCUCGGUCUCAACGAAGACACACAAUUGGGGAGGAAAGUCGAGCCCCGGUUUCUCCGUCCGAAUCGCGGGUCUCCGCCCUUGUUCGACGCCGUCGCGUCCGCCUUGGCCAGAGAUCGCCGCACCGCUGAAAUCUGUCCUCUGCUCAAGAACCGGGCUCAACCUCAUUCUGUCCCUUCUUCUUGGUUCAGGCAAGUUGCCUCUGUAACUUUGGUCAAAGUUGACGCCGCCCUUCGCCCAAAGGUCUCCGCAAAUUCCCGUCGUCACCGGGUUCUUUCCCGAUCUCGUCUGGCGAGCAGCAGAGCUCUGCCACUGUGGCCGGGGUCUCCUCCGCCGUACUGUGUUGUCGUCGGAGCUCCUUUGUCUCAACGAACAGGCAGUCAGCCUCCGACUGAUUCCGAAGUUCUCAUCGACGAAGGAGGAAUCAAGAACAGGAUGGUGAAAACUUAAGACCGGCUUACCUCUUCGAAGUUCCGGUAGAAGCUUUGCAAGCUCUAUCUCUUUCCCUCAAUUUUCUGGUGUCUAAGGGAGAAACAAAGGGUUGUUGGCUGAUAUAGAUGGGUGGAGGCGUAAAGUGGCUGCCUUGCGUGAAUUGGGGGCUGCAGAGGGGAAUGUUGCUGCUGUAGCAGCCCUUUUGCACACACGUUUUUUUUUUCUUCGUACUCUCUCUUUUCCUUCUUUUCUUUUGAUAAAGUAGCUUUUCCUUCUUUUCUUAAAGUAGCAAAAGAUUGUAAAAGGUGAUAGGUUGCAAAGUGAUGUGAUUGAAUGAAAUAAAUCUUCUCUGUUGGUAAA